rnacentral:rRNA from 1 species
AGAACGAACGCUGGCGGCAUGCCUAACACAUGCAAGUCGAACGGGCCCUUCGGGGCUAGUGGCGCACGGGUGAGUAACGCGUGGGAACCUUCCCAGUGGUGCGGAAUAGCUCAGGGAAACUUGAGGUAAUACCGCAUAAGCCCUUAGGGGGAAAGAUUUAUCGCCAUUGGAUGGGCCCGCGUCGGAUUAGCUAGUUGGUGAGGUAAUGGCUCACCAAGGCAACGAUCCGUAGCUGGUUUGAGAGAAUGACCAGCCACACUGGGACUGAGACACGGCCCAGACUCCUACGGGAGGCAGCAGUGGGGAAUCUUGGACAAUGGGCGCAAGCCUGAUCCAGCCAUGCCGCGUGAGUGACGAAGGCCUUAGGGUUGUAAAGCUCUUUUGCCGGGACGAUAAUGACGGUACCGGAGAAUAAGUCCCGGCUAACUUCGUGCCAGCAGCCGC